rnacentral:rRNA from 1 species
AUGUGCUGUGAGCUCGAUGAGUAGGGCGGGACACGUGGUAUCCUGUCUGAAUAUGGGGGGACCAUCCUCCAAGGCUAAAUACUCCUGACUGACCGAUAGUGAACCAGUACCGUGAGGGAAAGGCGAAAAGAACCCCGGCGAGGGGAGUGAAAAAGAACCUGAAACCGUGUACGUACAAGCAGUGGGAGCACCCUUUGGGGUGUGACUGCGUACCUUUUGUAUAAUGGGUCAGCGACUUAUAUUCUGUAGCAAGGUUAACCGAAUAGGGGAGCCGGAGGGAAACCGAGUCUUAAUUGGGCGUUAAGUUGCAGGGUAUAGACCCGAAACCCGGUGAUCUAGCCAUGGGCAGGUUGAAGGUUGGGUAACACUAACUGGAGGACCGAACCGACUAAUGUUGAAAAAUUAGCGGAUGACCUGUGGCUGGGGGUGAAAGGCCAAUCAAACCGGGAGAUAGCUGGUUCUCCCCGAAAGCUAUUUAGGUAGCGCCUCGUGAAUUCAUCUCCGGGGGUAGAGCACUGUUUCGGCUAGGGGGUCAUCCCGACUUACCAACCCGAUGCAAACUGCGAAUACCGGAGAAUGUUAUCACGGGAGACACACGGCGGGUGCUAACGUCCGUCGUGAAGAGGGAAACAACCCAGACCGCCAGCUAAGGUCCCAAAGUCAUGGUUAAGUGGGAAACGAUGUGGGAAGGCACAGACAGCCAGGAUGUUGGCUUAGAAGCAGCCAUCAUUUAAAGAAAGCGUAAUAGCUCACUGGUCGAGUCGGCCUGCGCGGAAGAUGUAACGGGGCUAAACCAUGCACCGAAGCUGCGGCAGCGACACUCAGGUGUUGUUGGGUAGGGGAGCGUUCUGUAAGCCUGUGAAGGUGGCCUGUGAGGGUUGCUGGAGGUAUCAGAAGUGCGAAUGCUGACAUAAGUAACGAUAAAGCGGGUGAAAAGCCCGCUCGCCGGAAGACCAAGGGUUCCUGUCCAACGUUAAUCGGGGCAGGGUGAGUCGACCCCUAAGGCGAGGCCGAAAGGCGUAGUCGAUGGGAAACGGGUUAAUAUUCCCGUACUUGGUGUUACUGCGAAGGGGGGACGGAGAAGGCUAUGUUGGCCGGGCGACGGUUGUCCCGGUUUAAGCGUGUAGGUGUGUGUUCCAGGUAAAUCCGGUUCACUUUAACACUGAGGCGUGA